ACGCUAGCUACAGGCUUAACACAUGCAAGUCGAGGGGCAGCAUGUUGGUUGCUUGCAACCAAUGAUGGCGACCGGCGCACGGGUGAGUAACGCGUAUCCAACCUACCCAAUACUCAGGCAUAACCCGUUGAAAGACGGACUAAUUCCUGAUGGCAUGUAUUUCUCUCAUGAGUUAUACAUUAAGGAAUUUCGGUAUUGGAUGGGGAUGCGUCUGAUUAGUUUGUUGGUGAGGUAACGGCUCACCAAGACUUCGAUCUGUAGGGGUUCUGAGAGGAAGGUCCCCCACAUUGGAACUGAGACACGGUCCAAACUCCUACGGGAGGCAGCAGUGAGGAAUAUUGGUCAAUGGAUGCAAAUCUGAACCAGCCAAGUAGCGUGCAGGAUGACGGCCCUAUGGGUUGUAAACUGCUUUUAUGUGAGAAUAAAGUUAGGUAUGUAUACUUAUUUGCAUGUAUCACAUGAAUAAGGACCGGCUAAUUCCGUGCCAGCAGCCGCGGUAAUACGGAAGGUCCAGGCGUUAUCCGGAUUUAUUGGGUUUAAAGGGUGCGUAGGCCGUUUGAUAAGCGUGCUGUGAAAUAUAGUGGCUCAACCUCUAUCGUGCAGCGCGAACUGUCGAACUUGAGUGCGUAGUAGGUAGGCGGAAUUCGUGGUGUAGCGGUGAAAUGCUUAGAUAUCACGAAGAACUCCGAUUGCGAAGGCAGCUUACCGUAACGUUACUGACGCUUAAGCACGAAGGUGCGGGUAUCGAACAGGAUUAGAUACCCUGGUAGUCCGCACAGUAAACGAUGGAUGCUCGCUGUUGGCCUUUUUGGUCAGUGGCUUAGCGAAAGCGUUAAGCAUCCCACCUGGGGAGUACGCCGGCAACGGUGAACUCAAAGGAAUUGACGGGGGCCCGCACAAGCGGAGGAACAUGUGGUUUA
rnacentral:rRNA from 1 species